rnacentral:rRNA from 1 species
UACGGAGGGGGCUAGCGUUGUUCGGAAUUACUGGGCGUAAAACGCACGUAGGCGGCUUUGUAAGUCAGGGUGAAAUCCUGGAGCUCAACUCCAGAACUGCCUUUGAUACUGAGGAUCUUGAGUCCGGGAGAGGUGAGUGGAACUGCGAGUGUAGAGGUGAAAUUCGUAGAUAUUCGCAAGAACACCAGUGGCGAAGGCGGCUCACUGGCCCGGUACUGACGCUGAGGUGCGAAAGCGUGGGAGCAAACAGG